rnacentral:rRNA from 1 species
UACGAAGGGGGCUAGCGUUGCUCGGAAUCACUGGGCGUAAAGCGCACGUAGGCGGAUCUUUAAGUCAGGGGUGAAAUCCCAAGGCUCAACCUUGGAACUGCCUUUGAUACUGGGGAUCUCGAGUCCGGAAGAGGUUGGUGGAACUGCGAGUGUAGAGGUGAAAUUCGUAGAUAUUCGCAAGAACACCAGUGGCGAAGGCGCCAACUGGUCCGGUACUGACGCUAGGUGCG